CACUGUUUCUCACUCAAAAAUUGUGAGACUGGAGUUACCACAGACACUAAGGUCUACAGAAAAUCCACUCAAUAUAUCAUGUGACAGCAGGAAACAGGCAUGCCUACUCUGGAAACUCAGAAUGGGACCAUUACCAUUCCCAGGGAGCAAUGUACUGAAAGAAACAUGAUGUGUUCUCCUAGUCCCACUGGAAAAAGAAUGUAUAAGUGGAAACCAAAAUAAAGAGCUAACUUCGGC
rnacentral:lncRNA from 1 species